AAAUAUUACCAAAAUCUCUACAAAAGAUUUGGUCUCAAAAGUGGAACACACAAAAUCUUACAAGAUCCCUCCUAGAUCUCUAUAAAACACCUCAUCCUCUCCUGUUUACACUCACACAAACAAAACACAGAGAUUUCACUCUCUGCUCGUGAUAAGAACCCCAAACCACACACACACCUCUCAGUCUCUCUCUCCCUCGCCGAUGUCUGACCGCCGGUGAAUCGGUGGAGCCGGUGACUCCCAUCUCUCCGGCGACUCUCACCUGCAACACCCACUCCCUUUCCACCGCUGGUACACCCCCCCUUCUCUCCUCUCCGCUGAUGUGUAACUAGGGACGAUAACAGCCACCACCACCGUCUGGUGGUGGUGCGACGGUGGAACUAAGAGAGAAAGAGAGAGAGAUUCAGAGAAAGAUGGUGCGACGACAGAAUCGAGUGAGGAGGACAGCAGCUUGGACAAGACAGAGAGUGAAAGAGGAAUCAGAGAUGUUGAGAGAGAUCAGCGGCAAAGAGAGGCAGCAGAGACGCCGUUUCCGGCGACGAUCUGUCGCUGGCGGCGGAGCCGCGACGGCAGUGGAGGCUCACGGUGAUGGUUUCGUUCUCCGACAGGAUCUACGAUGAUGCUUGUGAUGUUCUGUUUGGUUCGAGUUUCGGGACCCUGGUCAGCUUUCGCGACAUGGUCAAGCUCAAGUAAACAUGGCCAGAUUCAGUUUAGGGUUCACGUUAGCGGGUUCUUGUUCAUUCAGUCCAGAUUCGGAUUUGGUUUUGGGGAAAUAUUUUGGGUUCGGGUCAAACCCGAGUGACUCGGUCAACACCCGAGUCAACUCGGUUCAACAAUGGGUCAAGAUUGGUCAAUAAAAGUCAGCGGUCAAACCAAGUCAACAAGUCAGCGGGUUCAGGUCCGCUCACUGUUCGGGUCAACGGCUCAGUCAACAGUCAAAGUUUGGUCAACAGCUCACUUCGACCGUGGAUUAGUUUUGGUUCAGAUAUGAUACGGUUCGGAUUCGGUCAAAGAUGGUCAAAUGGGUCAACGGCAGUCAACACAGUCAGCUGCAAGACCCGGUAAAGAUUUAAUCGACGCAAAAUUUCUCUUUAUAUAGUUAUAGAUUUCAUACUUAUACGCGACCCGAGCUUGAACCGAUUCAAUUAAAAAUUAGUUACAUUCUAAUAUAUUUGACAAGAAUUAUAUACAUAUUGUUUGUUUGUUGAAA